rnacentral:lncRNA from 1 species
UUAACUUGUUAAUCAUAAAAAUUGCUCUCCAAAAAAUAUACUGGAAACAUCCGGAUAUAGAGUUAUAAUUAAAAAUGAAAGCAAAACAGCCUACCCUAAAAGAACUGAAAUUCUUAAUUCAAACAUCUAGCGUGGUUGAUAAUGAAAGUAAAAAUGCUGAUAUGUAUAGAUAUUGAGACGUUCUGAGAUUUUUAUCGCUGACCAUCUAG